rnacentral:tRNA from 1 species
GCUCUUGUAGUUUAAUGGAUAGAAUACUGGCCUGCGAAGCUGGUGAUCCAGGUUCGACUCCUGGCGAGAGCA